AUUGAACGCUGGCGGCAUGCCUUACACAUGCAAGUCGAACGGCAGCACGGGAGCAAUCCUGGUGGCGAGUGGCGAACGGGUGAGUAAUAUAUCGGAACGUGCCCGGUCGUGGGGAUAACGUAGCGAAAGCUACGCUAAUACCGCAUACGAUCUACGGAUGAAAGCGGGGGAUCGCAAGACCUCGCGCGAUUGGAGCGGCCGAUAUCAGAUUAGGUAGUUGGUGAGGUAAAGGCUCACCAAGCCGACGAUCUGUAGCUGGUCUGAGAGGACGACCAGCCACACUGGGACUGAGACACGGCCCAGACUCCUACGGGAGGCAGCAGUGGGAAUUUGGACAAUGGGCGCAAGCCUGAUCCAGCAAUGCCGCGUGCAGGAUGAAGGCCU
rnacentral:rRNA from 1 species